GGGUGUGUUAAGUUAAUAGAAUCAAAAAUUUAAGGGAUGCUUUUAAAAUUACAAAAUUUUAUUUGGUUGCCCUAAAAACUCUUUAUAAAAAGAUCCUCUUUCCAAUGAUUAGGACACAGAAAAAGGAUAAGAAAAAAGGGAACAGACGGCUGAAUCUAAAGGGUUCGGAAGAAACUUCGGGUAUUCUCUAGCUUAGGGUUUCAGAGGUUAGAAUAGAAUUUUGAGUUCAUUCACUGCUGGCUUUUGCUGAGCUGAGCUAGAAACCGCAAGCUGCUUUGUUUCUUAGGCUAUUUUCCCUUUGCUGGGUAUUUUUCUAAACUUUUUUUUAAUGUUUUGAUUGAGUUGUCUUGAAUGAAAUGUUGAUUUCCUUAAACAUUUGAGCAUAAAUAAAGUUGAAAACUCUUGCAAUGUUCUUAGAAUUUUUAGCAUGUUUAAAGCUUUAAAUCUGCUUUAGUUUGUAUUCUGUUCAUUUGUUUUGUUAGUUUGUGUAAUGGUUGGAGUAUGGGGAUAAUGGAAAAAUUCUAUUAGCAUCCAGUAAUUGAUGAAACAGGCAAUUUGAGAGCCAUGUUGUCUUCUUCUUUUCCUUUUUUUUCUUACAGAAACAUUGUUUUACCUAUUUCUGAGUAGUAUGAGGCAUUAGUUACUAAAUGCCUUUUGAUUUUAAGGUAUGUUGUUCCGAAUGUUGGUUAUAGCUGAUGUUUUCUGUUAUCCGAAAUAAUGGAAAUAUUGUACCAACAUAUCAUGGAUUGGGUCUAUUGCUUUGAUUCUGCUAACUUUACUUGUGAUUCUGCUCACUUGGUCUUCUUUUCGAAAGUAGCAAAUUUGUGUGAAUUCAAUAAUUUCCAACAUAGUACUUCAAGAGAUAUUUUGUCUGAUUUAAUUUGGCUCUUGUGAUGUCAAGGUUUGCUUAUUACAAUUCAUGUUGAUUGGUAAGUUUACUGAAAAUGGUAGUAAGCCUUGAUGUUGAAAACUGUUCAAUGGUAAAUUUUGUCACACUCAUAUACGAUUUUGGGGUUGGUUAUUUGGGUUUCAACUAUUUUUAUUGAGUAAUUAGUAUGACAGAAGAGAACAAAAAAGAGGAGUACAUCGAAAGGUGUUAUUGAAUAUACAACAGAUACAUUGAGUGAGUAUCAUUUUGUUUAAUAAUUCUUUGGUUACUUCAUAUUGAGCUGUGAUCUUAGUAUAAUGAUUGAUGAUAUGUUAUUAAAUAAUUUGUCUGUAUUUAAUUUUUCAUUUUUUUUCUAUUUUUUUGUGUUCAUGUUAGCAACAUGAAAAUCAUUUUCCUAAUGCUACUCCUUUAUUACUGAUGGUUGUAAUAGUUCAAAAUAAGCCACUAGACGUUACUUGGUGUGGCAAUGUUCGGUUUUUCCUCAAUUUAGUUCUUUAAUUUGCCAAAUACUUCUUGAAAUAGCUAUAGCGAGUGUACAGAUCAGUGAGCCUAUGUGGAAAUAGGAGUCCAAUAGAUUCCGUAGCCAUAUGGCCCACCAUUUUGAGGUCUACACAAGACCUGUUGACAUCUUUGUGGUUUAGUUUCAUUUAUGUAAUGCUUGGACUUUGACCAAGGCCAUUUGUGUUCAUUUAUGACCUAUUUCAUGUGAUAAUAUCAAAUCAAACCCUUGUCUAGCAAUAGAAGGCAUAUUCACUUUAUCAAAAAUAAUAUUAGGCCAAUAUCGUGUAGGUCCAACAAUUUGCUUCAAUUAAGUUAUAUAUGUUUUUAUCCACAAAAGAAUUUCAUAACUUUUGACAUUUCACAAUAAUCUCAAACUUAAAAAUAAUUAAACAUCUAUAGUCUGUUUUAGGUAUACAAUUAAAUUAUUAUAUCUAUAGGUAUGGUUCCCGUAGUGUAAUUGUGAUACCUAAUUUUAAAUUAGAUUAAAGUAGGGGCAUAUUUAGUUUGCAUUAGUGAAAUACAAAUCUUUUAAAAUAAAUUGAGGCAUGACAUCCACAAAUGAAUCCUAUAAUCUGUAGCCCUCACAUAAAUAUAAAAUUAUUAUAGAAAUAUUUUUAAACAUUCGUAGCUUGCUUUAGGGGCAUUUAUCAUAAAAUCAUCACAGUUACGAUAAGGUUUCCGUGAUGUAGUUGUAAUAUAUAAUUCUCAAAUCAGGGCGACAUUUAUGUGACCCGGCCACAACUUCUAAUAACUUUAAUAAAUUAAACAUGUUGUAGAUCGCGGAUACGGUUCCCGUGACAUAAUUCACAAUGUGUAUCAAACAAACAAGCGUACGACAAUCAUCACUUGUUCAAGAAAUAAUUUUAUAAAUCUUAAAAGCGGUUAAAAUAAUCAAUGUAGACAUGUAAUUUUUUACUCUCCCCAAGAAUUUUUAUAUUUUUGCACGUAAAUAUUUAAUUUAGGCCUAAUAUAAUUAUUUCAGCUUUUUUUAAUCUUUUACUUUAUUUUAUUAUAAGAAAAUAAAAAUUACAAAAAAAAAUUGUUUUUUAAAUAUUUUGUAGUCAUUGUUAAUCUUGAAAACACCAAAAAUAGAUUUAUUUUAAUGGUCCGUCUUAUUUUAAUGGUUAUUUUACUUAAGUAUAAUUAAUUAAUAAAUAAGAUUGUAUUUUAGUAUCGUUUGCAGGGAAAGAAUAAAAUUUGGGUUCGAGCAAUUUAUUGUUAGGCCUAAUUUUUGAACCCAACACAUAAUUUUCGAACCCAUUAAGCUAACUUUAGGUAUCCUUCUAGACUCUUUUUUGGAAUACAAAAUAAAUAAAAAAUCCUAAGAAUCUAAGAGAAAUUAGCACCAAAGUACAUAUUUAGAGACCUAUAUAACUGGGGAUACACACAAUCAACCGCCGACUUUAAGAAUCAGCUGAAAUGCAUGAGAUACACAAAGAAUGGCUAAGAGAGAUAUACAUACAGUAGCACCGUAACACCUCCUACUUCUUCUUCUUCAACCAUUGACGAUUUUCAUUGAAUCGCAGCUAACUCACGUAGAAGGAAGGUAUUGCUACUCGAGCAAAAGAACAGUAAUAAUACUUUGAGGAUAAGGUUUUGGUCGCUUAGAUUUGGCAGCGAAGUUAUCCGUGCCGAGGUUGAAUCCGACGAGAAAUCUGGCGAGUUUCGACGUCUGGGUGAAGUUCCGUCGAGGGUCAGCAAAUUUUCAGGUCGAGGUCAGUGUCGAGUCUCAGAUUCAUGUAAAGUUUCGUUUUAGCCUCACUCUUGACUGAUAUAGAACUUCUGAAUUUCAUAAUGCAUGUUGAAUGAAGAAGUGUUGUUAAUGAGCAUUUGUAUAUAUGUGUUUGACAAAUUUGAGUUGUUCUGCUUCAUUUUCAUGAAUGUUUGUUUUAUAAUAACGUAUAUCAUCAGUAGUAUAUGCCUUAACUACUGAUGUUUGGUUGUUUCUGUGAAUUAACUUUCGUUGUGUGGAAUUUGAGAUACAUAUUUUACAGCUCAUAGUGCUAUUCGUAUAUGCAUAAAUGUUCAGCUGGUUCCUUUUUUAUAAGAGCAUGUAAAGCAAAUAGAAAUGACUUUUGAUGUUGG
rnacentral:lncRNA from 1 species